rnacentral:miRNA from 1 species
UAGCUGUUCUCUAACAACUAGGCCU